rnacentral:rRNA from 1 species
AGUGAACGCUGGCGGUAGGCCUAACACAUGCAAGUCGAACGGCAGCACAGGAGAGCUUGCUCUCUGGGUGGCGAGUGGCGGACGGGUGAGGAAUACAUCGGAAUCUACUCUGUCGGGGGGGAUAACGUAGGGAAACUUACGCUAAUACCGCAUACGACCUACGGGUGAAAGCAGGGGACCUUCGGUCCUUGCGCGAUUGAAUGAGCCGAUGUCGGAUUAGCUAGUUGGCGGGGUAAAGGCCCACCAAGGCGACGAUCCGUAGCUGGUCUGAGAGGAUGAUCAGCCACACUGGAACUGAGACACGGUCCAGACUCCUACGGGAGGCAGCAGUGGGGAAUAUUGGACAAUGGGCGCAAGCCUGAUCCAGCCAUACCGCGUGGGUGAAGAAGGCCUUCGGGUUGUAAAGCCCUUUUGUUGGGAAAGAAAUCCAGCUGGCUGAUACCCGGUUGGGAUGACGGUACCCAAAGAAUAAGCACCGGCUAACUUCGUGCCAGCCGCCGCCGUAA